rnacentral:rRNA from 1 species
AUCCAGACUUUGAUCCUGGCUCAGGAUGAACGCUGGCGGCGUGCCUAAUACAUGCAAGUCUGAACGGGAGCAAUUGUGCUUCGAGUGUGCGAACGGGUGAGUAAUUACAAUAAGUAACCUGCCCCUAGACAGGGGGAAUAACUAUUGGAAACGAAUAGCUUAAGAACCGCCAUAGGUACGGACCACUGCAUGGGUGUGACCCUAUUAAAAGUGGCCUCCAAAGCAMUGGUAGAGGAUGGACUUAUGGCGCAUUAGCUGGUUGGCCGGGGGUAACGGCCCUACCAAGGCGACGAUGCGUAGCCGACCUGAGAGGGUUGACCGGGCCACACUGGGACUGAGACACGGUCCCAGACUCCUACGGGAGGCAGCAGUAGGGAAUUUUCGGCAAUGGGGGAAACCCUGACCCGAGCAACGCCGCGUGAAGGAAGAAAGGUUUUUCGGAUUGUAAAACUUCUGUUAUAAAAGGAAAAACGGCGGCUACAAGGAAAUGGUAGCCGAGUGACGGUACUUUAUUAGAAAGCCACGGCUAACUACGUGCCAGCAGCCGCGGUAAUACGUAGGUGGCAAGCGUUAUCCGGAAUUAUUGGGCGUAAAGAGGGAGCAGGCGGCAGCAAGGGUCUGUGGUGAAAGCCUGAAGCUUAACUUCAGUAAGCCAUAGAAACCAGGCAGCUAGAGUGCAGGAGAGGAUCGUGGAAAUUCCAUGUGUAGCGGUGAAAUGCGUAGAUAUAUGGAGGAACACCAGUGGCGAAGGCGACGAUCUGGCCUGCAACUGACCGCUCAGUCCCGAAAGCGGUGGGGGAGCAAAUAGGAUUAAGAUUACCCUAGUUAGUCCACGCCGUAAACGAUGAGUUACUUAAGUGGUUUGGAUUGUCAAAGUUCAGUGCUGGCAGUUAACGCAAUAAGUACUCCGCCUGAGUAGUACGUUCGCAAGAAUGCAACUCAAAUGAAUUGACCGG